GGGGGUGAACGGUCUCGACUUUGUAACUUGAGGCAGAUGAAGCGGGCAGAGGAAGCCGGAAUGAUCUCUUUAACCAUAACCGUGCAAACACUUAAGCGCCAGUAAAACUGCCGCUGAUUACGCCCUCGCUGCAUAAGCGAGCCUCGUAAUCCGUUAGCCCAGGAUCGCUCUCGGCCUGGUGUCUAGCGCCGAAAGAGGGCUGACUCGAAUAAGGGGUUACGAACUUAUUCGCGAAACACUUUUCGUAACUGAGUCCGUCGGCUACUUGUGCGUGAGAGAGCCGGGUCUGAGAAAACGUUAAUCGCACUACGCCCGUAGAAGAGCUGUUUUACUUACGAAGGACCCGGGUUCGAUUCCCGGCACCUCCACCA
rnacentral:tmRNA from 1 species